UACGUAUGGGGCGAGCGUUGUUCGGAGUUAUUGGGCGUAAAGGGCGUGUAGGCGGCUCACUGCGUCUGGUGUGAAAUCGCAGGGCUUAACCCUGCGUAGGCGCUGGAAACGGGUGGGCUUGAGUUCCUGAGGGGAAGCUGGAAUUCCAGGUGUAGGGGUGAAAUCUGUAGAUAUCUGGAAGAACACCGGUGGCGAAGGCGAGCUUCUAUCAGAGGACUGACGCUGAGGCGCGAAAGCGUGGGGAG
rnacentral:rRNA from 1 species